AGAAUCAACGCUGGCGGCGUGCCUAACACAUGCAAGUCGCACGAGAAAGGGACUUCGGUCCUGAGUAAAGUGGCGCACGGGUGAGUAACACGUGAAUCAUCUACCUCCGAGUGGGGAAUAACCUAGAGAAAUCUGGGCUAAUACCGCAUAACACUUACGAGUCAAAGCAGCAAUGCGCUUGGAGAGGAGUUCGCGGCAGAUUAGUUAGUUGGCGGGGUAAUGGCCCACCAAGCGAUGAUCUGUA
rnacentral:rRNA from 1 species